UACGUAGGCAGCGAGCGUUGUUCGGAGUUACUGGGCGUAAAGGGUGUGUAGGCGGUUGUUUAAGUUUGGUGUGAAAUCUCCCGGCUCAACUGGGAGGGUGCGCCGAAUACUGAAUGACUCGAGUGUGGGAGAGGUGAGUGGAAUUCCUGGUGUAGCGGUGAAAUGCGUAGAUAUCAGGAGGAACACCGGUGGUGUAGACGGCUCACUGGACCAUAACUGACGCUGAGACACGAAAAGCGUGGGUAGCAAACAGG
rnacentral:rRNA from 1 species